CAGCAAUUAUUAAUCUACGCGAAACGCGUUUCGGUGUCACCGAAAGUCCCCAGCCUGGAAUGGGACUGGGGGGUUGGAGGGGGGAUUCGCGCCUCCCAAGCCUAAGACGGGGCUGGGAGGCCCGGAGGGGCGAUUCGCGCAUCCCACUCGUUUCACUGAAAGUCCCUAGUCCCCCCCCCCCCCCUCAAAUAAAGUGACUUGCCCAUAGCCACAACAAGAAUGAUGUAGGCAGCAGAAACAGAAUGGCAGCCAGGGUGGCAAGCUGUUUUCAGUGGAUAGUAAUAUACACACUUGCCCAAAAGAGUGAAGCCUCAGCUGAAUGGCAGGAAUCUUGCUGCAGGAUGUUUGCGUCAAGGAAACCAGAUGUUGCUAUGGGAGACAAGAUGUUGCUAUGGGAGAUCAGCUGCAGAGACUCAAGCAUCUGUCACGCAACUCCCGUCACGUGACUAUGAUUUUCACUUUCCAACUACUGAAGCCUGAAGUACCUGGGGCCCGUUCCUGAAAGGCCGAUUAACUUAACCCUCUAUCAUCGCCUAAUCCCGGGUUAAAAUUCGCUAAUCGUAGGUUAGCUAACCGACGGGUAACUCACCGUUCCCGAAAGCCAAGUAAUCCCCCGAAUUACUAACCCUGGAUUAAACGAAUGAAAAACUGGUUUGAGGAGUAAAAUUCACACAGGGUACCCAGUAUAUCAACAGAAAACUUAAAUUUACCUUUGGUGAUUUUAUUUUCGCGGGAAAGCCCCAAAACACCUCUACAUCACCUGUAAUUACCUCCAUUUUAUUGCCAAAUAAGUGUCAUUUGCAGGAUUCGAGUUGGUGCGUGACACUAGCGAGACAGAUUCAUUUCCAGUAUAAAUUUCAUGUAACUUUCUGUCUGUCCCAGCACAAUUUUCAAGUCAGCAUCGCAACAAAGGUCACACAAUAAAGCGAAAUGUUAGGAUAUUUGAUCCCUACAUUGUUUUGUGUAACGUCUUUUUUGUCGAAAACUUUAUUUUAUGAAGCUUUAGUUCUACUACAAAGUUUGGGAGGCCUGUGUUACGCCAACUAAACAGUAGGUUAGCGAGUUAACCCAACUCGCGAGCAGGGUUAGAUUUUACCUCCAAACUGACCCAGAGUUCGGGAACGGAACUAAUCUUGGGUAAAAAUUUAAUCGUGGUUAGGGUUAGUUUAACUCUGGGUUAGCGCUAAUCGACUAUUCAGGAACCGGCCCCUGAACUCUAACUUUAGCUAGCUAAUGAUGAUAGGCAACUUGCACUAACCUUGAUCACAUAACUUUUUGGGUGCCAAAGUAGCGCGCACUCCAGCUGUUGGCGCAAAUUAACAACAAAAAAGCAACUUAUCCAGCUCUUAAGGAUCAGCCAGAAGGUUUUCGUGUGUCAGAUUUAUUUAUUUUUGAUUUCCGUAUGUCGUUCCCUGCGAUUAUCACGGCUAGCGCGUCGGCGUUGUUCGUUCGCCAGCGAUAUGAGCAGCUCGGAGUGCGUCACUUCUGAUUCUUCCAGUAAGUUUCAUUGCUCCGAUUCUCCUCGUGAAUUUAUUUAAUGCUCCUCAUUAAUUUAUCUUGUUCUGAUGUUUUCUGUAAAUUUACCUCGGUCUGUUGGUACGAGAAGCAUCAGAGAGCGUGGUAAAUUUACGGAGAGCAUCAGAGAGAAUGGUAAAUUUACAAGAAGCAUCAGAGAGCAUGGCAAAUUUACGAGAAGCAUCAGAGAGCGUGGUAAGUUUACGGAGAGCAUCAGAGAGAGUGGUAAAUUUACGGAUAGCAUCAGAGAGUAUGGUAAAUUUACGGAGAGCAUCAGAGAGAAUGGUUAUUUUUACUGAGAACACCAGAGAGCGUGGUAACUUUACGGAGAGCAUCAGAGAGAAUGGUAAAUUUACGAAGGGCACAGAGAGCACGGUAACUUUACGGAGAGCAUCAGAGAGCAUGGUAAAUUUACGGGGAGCAUCAGAGAGCAUGGUAAAUUUACAGAGAGCAUCGGAAGGUAGUUGUGGGAGCUUUAAAUAGUAUGUAUACCGUAUACAUGGCAUUAUGGUCCUCUU